rnacentral:rRNA from 1 species
UACGUAGGGGGCGAGCGUUGUCCGGAUUCAUUGGGCGUAAAGAGCUCGUAGGCGGCUUGGCAAGUCGGGUGUGAAAACUCCAGGCUCAACCUGGAGACGCCACCCGAUACUGCCAUGGCUUGAGUCCGGUAGGGGACCACGGAAUUCCUGGUGUAGCGGUGAAAUGCGCAGAUAUCAGGAGGAACACCGGUGGCGAAGGCGGUGGUCUGGGCCGGUACUGACGCUGAGGAGCGAAAGCUAGGGGAGCAAACAGG